UACGUAGGUGGCAAGCGAUACUCGGAAUUACUGGGCGUAAAGCGUGCGCAGGCGGUUCUCCAAGUCCGUUGUGAAAGCCCCGGGCUCAACCUGGGAAUGGCAGUGGAAACUAGGGGACUGGAAUCUGGCAGAGGGGGGUGGAAUGCCGCGUGUAGCAGUGAAAUGCGUAGAGAUGCGGCGGAACACCGAUGGCGAAGGCAGCCCCCUGGGCUGAGAUUGACGCUCAGGCACGAAAGCGUGGGGAGCAAACAGG
rnacentral:rRNA from 1 species